rnacentral:rRNA from 1 species
CAGUCGCCGCGGGAAUACGUAGGCCCCGAGCGUUGUCCGGAUUUAUUGGGCGUAAAGCGAGCGCAGGCGGUUUGAUAAGUCUGAAGUAAAAGGCUGUGGCUUAACCAUAGUAUGCUUUGGAAACUGUCAAACUUGAGUGCAGAAGGGGAGAGUGGAAUUCCAUGUGUAGCGGUGAAAUGCGUAGAUAUAUGGAGGAACACCGGUGGCGAAAGCGGCUCUCUGGUCUGUAACUGACGCUGAGGCUCGAAAGCGUGGGGAGCAAACAGGAUUAGAUACCCCCGUAGUCCCUGUCUCUUAUACA